AUAAGGUCUAACCUGCCCACUGAAUUUUGUUUGAAGGGCCGCAGUAUUUUGACUGUGCAAAGGUAGCAUAAUCAUUAGUCUUUUAAUUGAAGGCUGGUAUGAAUGGUUGGACGAGAUACAAGCUGUGUCAUAAAAAUUAAAAUUUGAAUUUAUCUUUUUAGUUAAAAGACUAAAAUAAAAUUAAAAGACGAGAAGACCCUAUAGAGCUUUAUAUAAUUAAUAUUUAAAUUAUUAAGAUUUUUUAAAUUAAAAUAUUAUUUUAUAUUUUGUUGGGGUGAUAAUAAAAUUUAUAAAACUUUUAUUUUUAUUAAACAUUAAUCUAUGAUUAGAUGAUCCAGUUUUAUUGAUUAUAAAUUUAAGUUACCUUAGGGAUAACAGCGUAAUUUUUUUUGAGAGUUCUUAUCGACAAAAAAGAUUGCGACCUCGAUGUUGGAUUAAGAGUAAUUUUGGGUGUAGAAGUUCAAAAUUUAAGUC
rnacentral:rRNA from 1 species